UACAGAGGUCUCAAGCGUUGUUCGGAUUCAUUGGGCGUAAAGGGCGCGUAGGCGGCGGGGUAAGUCGGGUGUGAAAUCUCAGGGCUCAACCCUGAAACUGCACUUGAUACUGCUCUGCUUGAGGACUGGAGAGGAGACUGGAAUUCACGGUGUAGCAGUGAAAUGCGUAGAUAUCGUGAGGAAGACCAGUGGCGAAGGCGGGUCUCUGGACAGUUCCUGACGCUGAGGCACGAAGGUCAGGGGAGCAAACGGG
rnacentral:rRNA from 1 species